GACGAACGCUGGCGGCGUGCCUAAUACAUGCAAGUAGAACGCAGUUGCUAACGGGUGAGUAACGCGUAGGUAACUGCCUGGUAGCGGGGGAUAACUAUUGGAAACGAUAGCUAAUACCGCAUACUACCAGAUCGACCUGCGUUUUAUUAGCUAGUUGGUGUGGUAACGGCUCCCCAAGGCACCGGUACAUAGCCGACCUGAGGGUGAUCGGCCACACCGGGACUGGGACACGGCCCAGACUCCUACGGGAGGCAGCAGUAGGGAAUCGUCGGCAAUGGACGGCAGGCUGACCGAGCAACGCCGCGUUAGUGAAGAAGGGUUUCGGAUCGUAAAGCUCUGUGGUAAGAGAAGCGGUAUCUUACCAGAAAGGGACGGCUAACUACGUGCCAGCCGCCGCGGUAAUUC
rnacentral:rRNA from 1 species